AAGGAAAGCCUGAGAAUUUUCAACUUGAAAAUUGAGUUUGAAUCUCACUGUUUGGAGAUUCAGAAACUCGAGGAUCCAAAGCUUUGUACCAUUGCCAAACCUCUUCGGCAAGCUUCUCAAGUGUGAUCAGAUCAAGGUUGAAGCAAGAAAGAUCCACUUCUGCACAUCAUUGUAGGUAAAUUUCAGAAAACUUCUUCUCUUCAAUUCUCACUCAAUUCUCAUAAAUUCUCUUGAAUCUUUGGUUGUCUGAAGUCCUACCAAUGUAGGCAAGAAG
rnacentral:lncRNA from 1 species